rnacentral:rRNA from 1 species
UUGAAAGGGAAACGAUUGAAGUCAGUCGUACCUAUGGGUAAUCAGCCUUUUGGGUGUGAUUUUGUGGAGCGUGAGGAGUUAAACGCCUUCAUGCCUGCAUAUUCGUGCACUUUGGGUGUACUUGCCCGUGUGUAAGUUAACAUCAAUUUUGGUGGUCAUAAAAUGGCUGGAGGAAUGUAGCUUCGAUCUUGCAUUGAAGUGUUAUAGCCUUCGGUAGAUGUGACGAUCGGGAUUGAGGAUUGCAACGGAUACCCCUCGGGGCUACCUGUCUGAUCUCUGAUUGUUGCUCUGGUGCCGAAAGCUUGCUUACGGUUAUCAAAGUCGAUUGUCAAUAGGUUAGAACGGGUUAAAUUCGUUAAGGAUGUUGACGUA